rnacentral:lncRNA from 1 species
UCUAUUUAACAACUGAACGUGAAUCAACACCUCUUUUUAUGAUGAAAAUGCAAUGCAAUCAUAACAAAAAGAAAACAGGUUAGUACAAAGCAAAAGCAAGCAAGAAUAAAUAGAACACCUAUUUGGGUGAAUACUAGGGGUUCGAAGUGGUUCUACCUAGGGUGGGCUCCUAAGGUUCACUACAUGAGGUUUGGUUCUAAAGUAAGGGUACCCGAACCAGCAGAUUCCUCGAUCCUCACCCAUUAUAGGCUCAUGCGGACCGAGUUCGGUUCAGGGGGAUACAUUUCUCUAUGGCCAUGCGGAGAUGAAAAUCUCACGAAGACAUAGGUACGGAUGUAUCCCGGAAGCGAUUCACUAUCCCAUGCGGAGGUGAAAACCUCACGAAGGCGUAGUUUCUCACUCCCACUUAAAAGGUGUGACCAACGGUCAUGCAAUGGAAUGUGCAGAAAUAUACACCUAAACUCUAAACAAAGCAGUAAUUAUAAACAAAUAAUAAAAGCCAAAAU